UUGACACCGUAGAGCACUAAGGGCCACAGCGUGCUACUGGAUGGGUCGACUGAAAGACAACAAAGACAACAUGCGGUGUAUAAAGGCUUUCUGCAACAAAAGAAGAGUGAAUACAGGUUCCCAGAAGUCACGACAGCCUUCUCGAAGUGAGGGUAGCAAUCCGGCGUCUUUGUGACCGAUGAAAACGACAAACUCAUCAGAUUCC